UCCAAAACUAGCCUUACCACCACCUGCAAGAUCAAGAACACCAAGAAACAAGAGACAGCUAUCGCAAAACUCCAUGGGUACUGAAUUCAAGAGCUCUGCCUCUGCUGUUCCACUGCUUGAAUCUUCUUCUUUAUCAUCUACAGGAACCGCUUCUGCAAUCCAAACGCUUGGGAAUAUUAUUGUUUCCAUUGUUGGUACGGGA
rnacentral:misc_RNA from 1 species